rnacentral:tRNA from 1 species
GUGGUUGUAGCUCAGUUGGUUAGAGCGCUGGAUUGUGGUUCCAGAGGUCGCCGGUUCGACCCCGGUCAUCCACC